GGGUUGUGAGGUUAAGCGACUAAGCGUACACGGUGGAUGCCCUGGCAGUCAGAGGCGAUGAAGGACGUGCUAAUCUGCGAAAAGCGUCGGUAAGGUGAUAUGAACCGUUAUAACCGGCGAUGUCCGAAUGGGGAAACCCAGUGCAAUUCGUUGCACUAUCGUUAACUGAAUACAUAGGUUAACGAGGCGAACCGGGGGAACUGAAACAUCUAAGUACCCCGAGGAAAAGAAAUCAACCGAGAUUCCCCCAGUAGCGGCGAGCGAACGGGGAGCAGCCCAGAGUCUGAAUCAGCUUGUGUUAGUGGAACGGUCUGGAAAGUCCGACGGUACAGGGUGAUAGUCCCGUACACCAAAAUGCACAGGCUGUGAACUCGAAGAGUAGGGCGGGACACGUGGUAUCCUGUCUGAAUAUGGGGGGACCAUCCUCCAAGGCUAAAUACUCCUGACUGACCGAUAGUGAACCAGUACCGUGAGGGAAAGGCGAAAAGAACCCCGGCGAGGGGAGUGAAAAAGAACCUGAAACCGUGUACGUACAAGCAGUGGGAGCACCUUCGGGUGUGACUGCGUACCUUUUGUAUAAUGGGUCAGCGACUUAUAUUCUGUAGCAAGGUUAACCGUAUAGGGGAGCCGCAGGGAAACCGAGUCUUAACUGGGCGUUAAGUUGCAGGGUAUAGACCCGAAACCCGGUGAUCUAGCCAUGGGCAGGUUGAAGGUUGGGUAACACUAACUGGAGGACCGAACCGACUAAUGUUGAAAAAUUAGCGGAUGACUUGUGGCUGGGGGUGAAAGGCCAAUCAAACCGGGAGAUAGCUGGUUCUCCCCGAAAGCUAUUUAGGUAGCGCCUCGUGAAUCAUCUUCGGGGGUAGAGCACUGUUUCGGCUAGGGGGUCAUCCCGACUUACCAACCCGAUGCAAACUACGAAUACCGAAGAAUGUUAUCACGGGAGACACACGGCGGGUGCUAACGUCCGUCGUGAAGAGGGAAACAACCCAGACCGCCAGCUAAGGUCCCAAAGUCAUGGUUAAGUGGGAAACGAUGUGGGAAGGCACAGACAGCCAGGAUGUUGGCUUAGAAGCAGCCAUCAUUUAAAGAAAGCGUAAUAGCUCACUGGUCGAGUCGGCCUGCGCGGAAGAUGUAACGGGGCUAAACCAUGCACCGAAGCUGCGGCAGCGACACUAUGUGUUGUUGGGUAGGGGAGCGUUCUGUAAGCCUGCGAAGGUGACCUGUGAGGGUUGCUGGAGGUAUCAGAAGUGCGAAUGCUGACAUAAGUAACGAUAAAGCGGGUGAAAAGCCCGCUCGCCGGAAGACCAAGGGUUCCUGUCCAACGUUAAUCGGGGCAGGGUGAGUCGACCCCUAAGGCGAGGCCGAAAGGCGUAGUCGAUGGGAAACAGGUUAAUAUUCCUGUACUUGGUGUUACUGCGAAGGGGGGACGGAGAAGGCUAUGUUAGCCGGGCGACGGUUGUCCCGGUUUAAGCAUGUAGGCUGGUUAUCCAGGCAAAUCCGGAUAAUCAAGGCUGAGGUGUGAUGACGAGGCACUACGGUGCUGAAGUAACAAAUGCCCUGCUUCCAGGAAAAGCCUCUAAGCAUCAGGUAACA
rnacentral:rRNA from 1 species